rnacentral:rRNA from 1 species
UACGAAGGGUGCAAGCGUUACUCGGAAUCACUGGGCGUAAAGCGUGCGUAGGCGGUUCGUUAAGUCUGCUGUGAAAGCCCUGGGCUCAACCUGGGAACUGCAGUGGAUACUGGCGAGCUAGAGUGUGAUAGAGGAUGGUGGAAUUCCCGGUGUAGCGGUGAAAUGCGUAGAGAUCGGGAGGAACACCAGCGGCGAAGGCGGGUAGCUGGGCCAACACUGACGCUGAUGCGCGAAAGCUAGGGGAGCAAACGGG